rnacentral:rRNA from 1 species
CCAACAGGGAUUGCCUCAGUAACGGCGAGUGAAGCGGCAACAGCUCAAAUUUGAAAUCUGGCCUUUACGGGCCCGAGUUGUAAUUUGUAGAGGAUGUUUCGGNCACCGCUCCGGUUUAAAUUUCUUGGAACAGAAUGUCAUAGAGGGUGAGAGUCCCGUCUUGAACCGGUUGUAGGAUCCAUGUGAAACUCCUUCGACGAGUCGAGUUGUUUGGGAAUGCAGCUCAAAAUGGGUGGUAAAUUUCAUCUAAAGCUAAAUAUUGGCCAGAGACCGAUAGCGCACAAGUAGAGUGAUCGAAAGAUGAAAAGCACUUUGAAAAGAGAGUUAAACAGUAUGUGAAAUUGUUGAAAGGGAAGCGCUUGCAACCAGACUUGAGCUUGACGGUUCCCCCUUCGUUUUCGUUGGGUUAUUCUGUCUUGUCCAGGCCAACAUCGGUUCGGGUGGUUGGUUAAAGGCUUUGGGAAUGUAUCUACCCUUCGGGGUCGACUUAUAGCCCAGGGUGUCAUGCGGCCUACCUGGACCGAGGAACGCGCUUCGGCUCGGAUGUUGGCGUAAUGGUUGUAAGCGACC